rnacentral:tRNA from 1 species
NCCGAAGUGGCGGAAUGGCAGACGCGCACGACUCAAAAUCGUGUACCCACAAGGUGUGAGGGUUCAAGUCCCUCCUUCGGCA